rnacentral:rRNA from 1 species
CGUGUAGGCGGCCCAACAAGUCUGGUGUGAAAGCCCCCGGCUCAACCGGGGAAGUGCAUGAGAAACUGUUGGGCUUGAGUACGGGAGAGGAUGGUGGAAUUCCCAGUGUAGCGGUGAAAUGCGUAGAUAUUGGGAGGAACACCGGUUGCGAAGGCGGCCAUCUGGACCGUCACUGACGCUGAGACGCGAAAGCGUGGGGAGCAAACAGGAUUAGAUACCCUGGUAGUCCACGCUGUAAACGGUGAGCACUAGGUGUUGGGGGUAUCGACCCCCCCAGUGCCGAAGUUAACACAUUAAGUGCUCCGCCUGGGAAGUACGGCCGCAAGGUUAAA